CUGUUACCAGUUACCUUUUGCAUUGUGUGUGUGCAUGUAUGUAUAAUUUGCGUUUUAACAUUUUGUUUUUUAUAUUGUCCUUAGUGAGGAAAAGAAACUAAGAACAACCAGGAGAGAGCUGUUCUGGGGACAUGGCCUUGAGACAGUGAUAUGAUGCUGAGUAUACAUGCAUGGUAUAUGUGACUGAACCCAGGACAUACCCUCCCAAAUCUGAUGGGGGAUGAGAGAUGCAUGGAGCAGAACUAUGAUGUCCUGAUUUUCAUCCCAUACCAGAUCAGCUGCCUCAUGCACAUGUGAGUACAGUCAAGACCAGAAGAACCAACAACUAGCUACAAAAAGAAUUACCAAGAUGACUACACCUCGGUGCCUGAGCAUCGAAUUCUUGUUGUAUAUCAUUGAGGGCUUCUGGUUUUCCCUCUACACAAAUUAAGAUGAAAAAAACUCCUGACACAGAUGCAUUAUUUUAUACUUUAUACUGUUUGAGAUAUUCUUUUUAUGAAGUCAGAAAAAUGCCUCUCUUUACAUUUUUCCCAUU